AUUUCUGUUGAUCGGACCAAAAAAGAAGUAAGAAAUAAGUUCCUCUAACUGAAAAGAAUGCUUUCGAGAAGCUAUCUACUGCAUGCGGGCAUGGUUUCGAACCAGCAAGGAAAGGAAAAUGGGGCCGUAAAAAACACCAGCAGCAAAUCCACCCCUACAUGCAAAAGGGAGACAAAGGAGCCGCUGCGUGCAUGCGUGCCACACCGCGGACACUGACCUGUAAAACCGUCCAUCCUCGAGGCAGAGAACCGUGUUUUUGAGACUCCGUUUCACCAGAUUGCCACCGUACGCUGGAAGAAAGAAUGGAAAGAAGAGUGUGGGGGGAGAGAUAAUUGACCCCCCAAAAAAGUUGCAGUAGCAGCAGGGAUGAAGCUCGCGAGGCUCGCUUGCAAUGAAAAGCCGUUGGUGAAAACGAAAAUGUAAACAAACCAACUGACAGAUUGUCGCUCAAAUUGCGCGAUAAUGAAAUGAUAUUUUUGUACAUAUUAAUUAUCCAUAGGCUGUUAUAAAAAGAAAAUUGUCAGACACAUUUUACCAUGGAGGGCUUCCACCGUGCCGG